CCUGGCUCAGGACGAACGCUGGCGGCGUGCUUAACACAUGCAAGUCGAACGAUGAUGCCCAGCUUGCUGGGUGGAUUAGUGGCGAACGGGUGAGUAACACGUGAGUAACCUGCCCCUGACUCUGGGAUAAGCGUUGGAAACGACGUCUAAUACUGGAUAUGAUCACUGGCCGCAUGGUCUGGUGGUGGAAAGAUUUUUUGGUUGGGGAUGGACUCGCGGCCUAUCAGCUUGUUGGUGAGGUAAUGGCUCACCAAGGCGACGACGGGUAGCCGGCCUGAGAGGGUGACCGGCCACACUGGGACUGAGACACGGCCCAGACUCCUACGGGAGGCAGCAGUGGGGAAUAUUGCACAAUGGGCGAAAGCCUGAUGCAGCAACGCCGCGUGAGGGAUGACGGCCUUCGGGUUGUAAACCUCUUUUAGUAGGGAAGAAGCGAAAGUGACGGUACCUGCAGAAAAAGCACCGGCUAACUACGUGCCAGCAGCCGCGGUAAUACGUAGGGUGCAAGCGUUGUCCGGAAUUAUUGGGCGUAAAGAGCUCGUAGGCGGUUUGUCGCGUCUGCUGUGAAAUCCCGAGGCUCAACCUCGGGCUUGCAGUGGGUACGGGCAGACUAGAGUGCGGUAGGGGAGAUUGGAAUUCCUGGUGUAGCGGUGGAAUGCGCAGAUAUCAGGAGGAACACCGAUGGCGAAGGCAGAUCUCUGGGCCGUAACUGACGCUGAGGAGCGAAAGCAUGGGGAGCGAACAGGAUUAGAUACCCUGGUAGUCCAUGCCGUAAACGUUGGGCGCUAGAUGUAGGGACCUUUCCACGGUUUCUGUGUCGUAGCUAACGCAUUAAGCGCCCCGCCUGGGGAGUACGGCCGCAAGGCUAAAACUCAAAGGAAUUGACGGGGGCCCGCACAAGCGGCGGAGCAUGCGGAUUAAUUCGAUGCAACGCGAAGAACCUUACCAAGGCUUGACAUACACCGGAAACGGCCAGAGAUGGUCGCCCCCUUGUGGUCGGUGUACAGGUGGUGCAUGGUUGUCGUCAGCUCGUGUCGUGAGAUGUUGGGUUAAGUCCCGCAACGAGCGCAACCCUCGUUCUAUGUUGCCAGCGGGUUAUGCCGGGGACUCAUAGGAGACUGCCGGGGUCAACUCGGAGGAAGGUGGGGAUGACGUCAAAUCAUCAUGCCCCUUAUGUCUUGGGCUUCACGCAUGCUACAAUGGCCGGUACAAAGGGCUGCGAUACCGUAAGGUGGAGCGAAUCCCAAAAAGCCGGUCUCAGUUCGGAUUGAGGUCUGCAACUCGACCUCAUGAAGUCGGAGUCGCUAGUAAUCGCAGAUCAGCAACGCUGCGGUGAAUACGUUCCCGGGCCUUGUACACACCGCCCGUCAAGUCAUGAAAGUCGGUAACACCCGAAGCCGGUGGCCUAACCCUUGUGGAAGGA
rnacentral:rRNA from 1 species